rnacentral:lncRNA from 1 species
UGGUAAGGCCAAAUAGAACUUACCUGGAUCCGGGAUGCUGGUGGAGAUGGACCGGAUUCAUUCGUAAAGGUUUGAGAAGGUGAUAGGUGGUGAUGGAGGGUGUUGGGAAGUGAUGAAUGAGGUGGAGUGGGGCUUGGUAAGGUGGAAUGAGGUGAAGUGGGUGGUUUGGGGUCGGGUAUCAUCUGAACGACCAUUUACCGCAGUCAGAGGUCACGCAACCGCGAUAAAAUGGUGCUCGGCCGCGGUCAGAAAGAUGCGGCCGUGGUCGAAGUGUAUUUCCUGCGGUCAAAAUGCCUGCGAACGCGGGGUCUUAAUAUGCGGC